rnacentral:rRNA from 1 species
AGUGAACGCUGGCGAUAGGCCUAACACAUGCAAGUCGAACGGCAGCACAGUAAGAGCUUGCUCUUACGGGUGGCGAGUGGCGGACGGGUGAGGAAUACAUCGGAAUCUACUUUUUCGUGGGGGAUAACGUAGGGAAACUUACGCUAAUACCGCAUACGACCUACGGGUGAAAGCAGGGGAUCUUCGGACCUUGCGCGAUUGAAUGAGCCGAUGUCGGAUUAGCUAGUUGGCGGGGUAAAGGCCCACCAAGGCGACGAUCCGUAGCUGGUCUGAGAGGAUGAUCAGCCACACUGGAACUGAGACACGGUCCAGACUCCUACGGGAGGCAGCAGUGGGGAAUAUUGGACAAUGGGCGCAAGCCUGAUCCAGCCAUACCGCGUGGGUGAAGAAGGCCUUCGGGUUGUAAAGCCCUUUUGUUGGGAAAGAAAAGCAGCAGGUUAAUACCCCGCUGUUCUGACGGUACCCAAAGAAUAAGCACCGGCUAACUUCGCG